GAACGCUGGCGGCAUGCCUUACACAUGCAAGUCGAACGGCAGCACGGGUGCUUGCACCUGGUGGCGAGUGGCGAACGGGUGAGUAAUACAUCGGAACAUGUCCUGUAGUGGGGGAUAGCCCGGCGAAAGCCGGAUUAAUACCGCAUACGAUCUACGGAUGAAAGCGGGGGACCUUCGGGCCUCGCGCUAUAGGGUUGGCCGAUGGCUGAUUAGCUAGUUGGUGGGGUAAAGGCCUACCAAGGCGACGAUCAGUAGCUGGUCUGAGAGGACGACCAGCCACACUGGGACUGAGACACGGCCCAGACUCCUACGGGAGGCAGCAGUGGGGAAUUUUGGACAAUGGGCGAAAGCCUGAUCCAGCAAUGCCGCGUGUGUGAAGAAGGCCUUCGGGUUGUAAAGCACUUUUGUCCGGAAAGAAAUCCUUGGCUCUAAUACAGUCGGGGGAUGACGGUACCGGAAGAAUAAGCACCGGCUAACUACGUG
rnacentral:rRNA from 1 species